rnacentral:rRNA from 1 species
CCGUCGGUGUUAACUGGCAUGUCCUGUGGAACGUCCUGCCGGUGGCGGUACGGGCUCUCGGUUCCUGUGUAGGGACCAAAAUCCCGAAGCAGACCGAAAAGUUCCGGCCGCCGGUUCAUAUCCCGCCACGGUGCUCUUAAACGAGUGUCGAGGUGGGCCGGCACGUUUACUUUGAACAAAUUAGAGUGCUUAAAGCAGGCUGGUGUCCGCCUGAAUACUGUGUGCAUGGAAUAAUGGAAUAGGACCUCGGUUCUAUUUUGUUGGUUUUCGGAACCCGAGGUAAUGAUUAAUAGGGACAGGCGGGGGCAUUCGUAUUGCGGCGUUAGAGGUGAAAUUCUUGGAUCGUCGCAAGACGAACCUAAGCGAAAGCAUUUGCCAAGUAUGUCCUCGUUAAUCAAGAACGAAAGUUAGAGGUUCGAAGGCGAUCAGAUACCGCCCUAGUUCUAACCAUAAACGAUGCCAGCCAGCGAUCCGCCGAAGUUCCUCCGAUGACUCGGCGGGCAGCUUCCGGGAAACCAAAGCUUUUGGGUUCCGGGGGAAGUAUGGUUGCAAAGCUGAAACUUAAAGGAAUUGACGGAAGGGCACCACCAGGAGUGGAGCCUGCGGCUUAAUUUGACUCAACACGGGAAACCUCACCAGGCCCGGACACCGGAAGGAUUGACAGAUUGAGAGCUCUUUCUUGAUUCGGUGGGUGGUGGUGCAUGGCCGUUCUUAGUUGGUGGAGCGAUUUGUCUGGUUAAUUCCGAUAACGAACGAGACUCUAGCCUGCUAACUAGGCGAUUUCCGGUACCCUCUUUAGUGUUACCGGCGAUUCAAUUUCUUCUUAGAGGGACAGGCGGCUCCUAGCCGCACGAGACUGAGCAAUAACAGGUCUGUGAUGCCCUUAGAUGUCCUGGGCAGCACGCGCGCUACACUGAAGGAAUCAGCGUGUCCUCCCUGGCCGACAGGCCCGGGUAACCCGUUGAACCUCCUUCGUGCUAGGGAUUGGGGCUUGCAAUUGUUCCCCAUGAACGAGGAAUUCCCAGUAAGCGCGAGUCAUAAGCUCGCGUUGAUUACGUCCCUGCCCUUUGUACACACCGCCCGUCGCUACUACCGAUUGAAUGAUUUAGUGAGGUCUUCGGACUGGUGCGCGGCGGUCGGUUUCGCCGGCCGCCGAUGUUGCCGGAA